rnacentral:rRNA from 1 species
AGACAGCAGUAGCCGCGGUAAUACGUAUGUCACAAGCGUUAUCCGGAUUUAUUGGGCGUAAAGCGCGUCUAGGUGGUUAUGUAAGUCUGAUGUGAAAAUGCAGGGCUCAACUCUGUAUUGCGUUGGAAACUGUGUAACUAGAGUACUGGAGAGGUAAGCGGAACUACAAGUGUAGAGGUGAAAUUCGUAGAUAUUUGUAGGAACGCCGAUGGGGAAGCCAGCUUACUGGACAGAUACUGACGCUAAAGCGCGAAAGCGUGGGUAGCAAACAGGAUUAGAUACCCCAGUAGUCCCUGUCUCUUAUACA